UAGUGAAAAGCUAAUUGUCUCCGAUGAUUUGUCCAAUAAUAUUCAUAAUGCAGACGAGGUGGAAGGAAUAAAACACGAAGUAGAAGGAAUAAAACUAGCUUGUAUCGCAUUCCUAAGCGUAUUUCUGGACGAACGGAAGCGGCUGAAAAGAAAAGUUAACGGCGAAGACGAGCGUGGAUUGCUACAAUAAACCGAGACGUGACGUGCUGACGACUUCGUGUUUGUUCGGAUCAUUUCAGUGAAUCUACACAACUCUGCCUCUACACUACUGGUCGAGACAGAUGGCCACCCCAUCGAGCCUGCGUUUCUUCCCACAGCACACGGGUGGGACCAGACAAGCUUUGCUUCGUCACACUCCUGUUGGACGGUUGAUCCUUUUAGCAAAAACGUGUGCUUGUGAAGUUUCAACAUGUUCCCAAAAAAAUAAAUGGAU